GGCUGCAUUGCUGGAGAGAAAUAGUCUGUUCCUUGGACUGACAAGGUCUGUGGGGGGACCUAAGAUCUCGCGAAGGUUCAGUCCUUGGCAUUUUACAGGGAGACUGAAGGCCAGCAUGUGCACAGGGUAGGUCUGAGCCUAGACAACUCAACAUGACCCUUACAGCCUUCCUGACUGAUUCCUGGGUGCUGGAGCUGCACCUGUUUCUUUUGACCUUCACAGCAAGCUGACGAGCUCAGCACAGUGGCGGACUGCACAGUGGAGCCUGUGAGCUGCCUACAACACAGCUCUCAUCAGCUCCUGCCCUGCUCUGCCCUGCCAGCCUCUCACCAGCAGCCCUGGCUUACCUGGAUCUGCUGCUGGGCCUGGAGCUGCUGCCGGAAGGCAUUCAUACCAGCUGUGAAGCACAGAAGCUGUGUGGCACCCUCCUGUAGGAGCUGCUGCUGCUGGUAGGCUUGCAUAGCCCGUUCCAUUCAUGCGGCCUUCCUCCUCCUCUCAAGUAUGAAGCCCAGCCAUGCAGUCCACACCUUGCAGAAGAGAGGACAAGAGAUAAGACUCAGGCUUCCAUGAUGGAUCCCACGACCCAGCCUACAGAGCAGCCCCUGAAGGCAGGAGUGCCCAGGGAAUUAGAACCAUUACCUUUGCUUGUAGUGAGAAGGCCCAGAGCCACAGGGCCCGGCUGUGCCCCACUGUUCUUGCUUCCGGACUGCCAGCUGUGGGCCCGAAAGAUUGGGUUACUCAGAGGAAUACACAGGCAACAUGGCAAUGGCCACUCUCAGCCCACCAGCUCAAGCAUCUACCCUCCUUCUACUGGGAAGGGUUCAGGACCUGGCCUCCUCCUGAUCUUGAGAUAGUUAAUAUAUUCAGGGACUGUGAAGAGGAAAAGGACAGUACAAAAGGAAGAACGCACAGACACCUCUGACUGGACAGUGAAUGGACAGAGCAAUGCUGGGGAACUGGGAGCAGAGCCGAAAGGGAAGGCUCUCCAGCCUAGAGCAAGAACAGACUGUAAACUUGGCUGUGCUGAGCAGACUGUGGCCUUCUGGUUUUUUAUCAAGACCCCAACAAAGACUUGAAAUUCACUUCACAUUAAUUUUUGGGUAUUAUUCCAGUGUGUUUAAGAUGACACUUUAAGAGAAACCUGAAUCGAAGAGACUAGCCUUCUACAAAUGGCAUAUGAAGGAAGCUGAUAGUGCGGGGGUGGGGGUGAGGCACACACAGGGAUGGAGCCCUGGGACAAAGACAGUGUUAAAGACUGAACUAGAUGUGGGGCUGAGAUGGCUCUAAGCUGAAAUCUUGCCAGUAGGCAAGAAGUGCUACACUGGUUCUCACCUGCUUCCUCUGCCAGAAGCAGGCCCGACCGAGUCUCUGUGCCAGGAGUUGGGCAGCUUGUCUCUGCAGAAACUAGAGAGCAAAUGCACACGGAGUCAGACUCCACAGUCACCUAACUCAGGGUCUAUCCCCAGCCCCUGGGCCAGCUGCAAGGGGAGACUCCACCCAAGUGAACACCUUUCUGCCAAUGGCUCCUGCCCCCAUAGUUUCCCCAGAUCUAAAGUCAGGGGUCAGGAGAAAGCAGAUUUCUCUUCUGAGCAGCCUUCUCCUGGGGUAGCCUUGAUUCUGAGGCUGGCUAUUCCUAGGUUUACGGGAGCCUGCAGCAGCUCCUGCAGCCUUGUUCCUGCAGAAUCCCAGCCCUAAAACUUCUUGCCCUGAGUUCUGUCUGGAGAUGCCUCCCCAAGACACCCAUGACUCAUACAGAGCUUGGAAAGCUGCCGCCACGUGCCUCACCUUCUUUCUGAUACACCCCAGAUGGUGUGCCUUCCACCUGGCCAUUGCUUCCAUCAGCAGCUGCCAGCGGUGAUGCUGACCCGCCUGUCCCAGCUGGAAUCUCUGCUGGGCCACCCUCUGGCUGCAGAACCCUAGUGUUGAAACCAGUUCCGGAGACGACAUGAAGCAGAUGUAAGCCGGCCGAGAACUGUAUAGGGCUUUCAUUCAUAAGUGACUUUGUGGCAUGGGAAGGCGUAGACAGUGGAGAGGUUAUGUGAUGUGACAAUCAGCCUUUUGUGAGAAAAAGCGACACAGGAUCCAUGGCCACUGUGGAAGGCCAGGCAGGCCUGGUCAUCUCUACAAUCUGGAACCUGGAACUAGAAUUUCUUUUUGCUGCUGCAUCUCCCAAGUGCUGUCCCCAUAGCUAUCCACAGUCAUUGCAGGUAUCCCAGGACCCACAGAGCAACACCAACAGGUACUAGGCAUGCAGAAGGAGACUCUUGGUCUCAGAAGGGAGCUUCCUGCUGGAGCUCAGCCUUGGAGGCAGGAAAUAAAGCUCAGAGAGUGAAGUCCGGUGAGCCUGAGGUAUGACCAGGAAAGUAGUAACGUGAUCUCUUGGGACCUCACUGUGUAGGCCGCGUCCUGGAGCCUGGAAAUGCCUAAUACAGGAGCCACCUCUGGAGCCAUUCACAGGCUCCAGAGAAGGCAGCAGUCACGAGCCUUAUCUUGGAUGGUGUCCACCAGCCAUUUCACAUCUUGGGUGCAGCCUUAAGUGUCCCUAUCUCCCUAGCUACCACUAUGGAUGGCAUCAUUGCUAAGGAACAACAGGAAGGUACAAGGUAGAGGGGAACAAAAUGUAGAGUUACGGAACCUAGACCCAACAGAUAUAUCUACAAAACACUCCCACACCUGAGGCUCAGGAACAUUUUGGAAGAGAAGAAAAGAUUCUAAGAACCGGAAGAUCAGGGAGUUUGCUGUGUGAAUGUGUCUCCUAGUAAUGUCAGAAGCCAUCAAUGUGCCUGCCCAAAUAGGAACCAAACAGGGACAACACUGAUGGACAGUCACAGUGGAUGGGGAAAGGCCCAUGAGGCCUCUACUCUAUACAAAGAACUACUUGGAAACUAAGACAUGCUGAGAGUGGGAGAAAAAGUCUUUCCCAGGAAAGAGCUCACCAGAUGGUUAUUCAGUGCUAAGUGGUCUGCCCUGAAGACAUGUAAGUAACACUAUACUGACUGAGCAGGGUACAUAGUAACAACUAAAACAGGUCAGGAUUUGAAAGAGCAGAAGUGGUUUGUGGGGGGAAGAGGGGAGGGAGAAAUGAUAUAGUCUUACAAAAAAAAGAAUGGGAGAAAGAAAGAAAGGAAGGCUGCUCCCUAUGUGGUCUAGGCUGCCCUCAAGCUCCUUGCUUCAGCACGCCUCCUUCCUGCCUUCCAAAUGGUGGGACUACAAGCCUGUACUUUGUAAAAGUCUAUGCCUGUGUCUAAGGAUAUUUUCCCCUGAGCUCUAAAAAGGUGUGGCAGAAACCUUGAGGUCUAAUAUCAGACAAGACAAUGAGUACAGGCCUUUAACCCCAGCACUCAGGAGGGAGAGGCAAAAGCAUUUCUGUGAGUUGGAAGCCAGCCUGGUCUACAUAGUGAGUUCCAGGACAGCCGGGGCUAUAGAGAAACCCCUAUCUCAAAAACAAAACAAAACAAAACAGGCACCAAACCACAAUGCUACUGCAUCCUUCCCACGGAUGGUAUUUUGUGUUUACCCACUAAAUUCCUUGUUCCAAAGGACCUGCCCUGUGCCACUACUCCCUUUAAGAAAAGUUCAUGAGCUGGAGAGAUGGCUCAGCAGUUAAGAGCACUGACUGCUCUUCCAGAGGUCCUGAGUUCAAAUUUCAGAAACCACAUGAUGGCUAUAAUGAGAUCUGAUGCCCUCUUUUUUUUUUUUUUUUUUAACUGUGCCUGAAGAGACAGUAUACUUACAUAUAAUAAAUAAAUAAAUCUUUAAAAAAAAAAAAGUCCUUCAGAGAUAGCUCUGUUGGUGCUUCAACUGCUCAGUCCUUUGCUCAUAGCAAACCAGCAUCAGCAUUUCAAGCUUCGCAGAUUAGGAACGAACAGUUCUCCAGGAACUUCCUGGGCUUCCAGCGCCACGAAGGGACUACUGAGGCACCCCACUCUGUAGACUGCAUAACCUCCUGUCAUCCCUGCUUCCUGACCCAGUAGGACUGACUGGCCAUUGAGGUCCAGCCUCAAGGAAAGUACCGGACCCUGAGCAUCUCAUGUAUGAUGUGGAUAAUAUUCUAAAGCUCACUUAAUAAAUGUAUAUAUUAUGUAAAUUACAGCAUAUAAUACCAA